rnacentral:rRNA from 1 species
UACGAAGGGUGCAAACGUUGCUCGGAAUCAUUGGGCGUAAAGCGCACGUAGGCGGCUUCGCAAGUCGGAUGUGAAAUCCCUCGGCUCAACCGAGGACGUGCAUCCGAAACUGCGGAGCUUGAGUACUGAAGAGGAUCGCGGAAUUCCCGGUGUAGAGGUGAAAUUCGUAGAUAUCGGGAGGAACGCCAGUGGCGAAGGCGGCGAUCUGGGCAGUUACUGACGCUGAGGUGCGAAAGCGUGGGGAGCAAACAGG